rnacentral:rRNA from 1 species
UUAUGGCCAUAUCACUUUGAAACACCAGUUCCCACAUGAUCACUGAAGUUAAGCAAAAUCUAGCCUGGUCACUACCUAGAUGGGUGACUGCUUGUGAAUACCAGGUGCUGUAAG